AACGAACGCUGGCGGCACGCUUAACACAUGCAAGUCGAACGAAAUCAUGGGGCUUGCUCCAUGGUUUAGUGGCGCACGGGUGAGUAACACGUGGCUACCUGCCCAUCGAUGGUGGAUAACUCCGGGAAACUGGAGCUAAUACAGCAUACGCUCGAGAGAGGAAAGGCCGAAAGGUCGUCGAUGGAGGGGGCUGCGUCUGAUUAGGUAGUUGGUGAGGUAAUGGCCCACCAAGCCUAUGAUCAGUAGCUGGUCUGAGAGGAUGGUCAGCCACACUGGAACUGAGAUACGGUCCAGACUCCUACGGGAGGCAGCAGUGGGGAAUAUUGGACAAUGGGGGAAACCCUGAUCCGGCGAUGCCGCGUGAGUGAUGAAGGCCUUAGGGUUGUAAAGCUCUUUUGACAGGGACGAUGAUGACGGUACCUGUAGAAUAAGCACCGGCUAACUCUGUGCCAGCAGCCGCGGUAAUACAGAGGGUGCUAGCGUUGUUCGGAAUUACUGGGCGUAAAGGGCGUGUAGGCGGUUGCGUAAGUCAGAUGUUAAAGACCUGGGCUUAACCUAGGGGGUGCGUUUGAUACUGCGUGACUAGAGAGCAGGAGAGGAGAAUGGAAUUUCCGGUGUAGAGGUGAAAUUCGUAGAUAUCGGAAGGAACACCAGUGGCGAAGGCGAUUCUCUGGACUGUUUCUGACGCUGAGGCGCGAAAGCGUGGGGAGCAAACAGGAUUAGAUACCCUGGUAGUCCACGCCUUAAACGAUGGAAGCUAGGUGCUGGGAUUUGUUUUCGGUGCCGUCGCUAACGCAUUAAGCUUCCCGCCUGGGGAGUACGGUCGCAAGAUUAAAACUCAAAGGAAUUGACGGGGACCCGCACAAGCGGUGGAGCAUGUGGUUUAAUUCGAAGCAACGCGAAAAACCUUACCCGCUUUUGACAUAGGGAUCGAGAGUCCAGGAGACUGGAUUCGUCGGUUCGGCCGGAUCCUAUACAGGUGCUGCAUGGCUGUCGUCAGCUCGUGUCGUGAGAUGUUGGGUUAAGUCCCGCAACGAGCGCAACCCUUAUUCGUAGUUGCCAUCACGUUAUGGUGGGCACUUUACGAAAACCGCCGCUGAUAAAGUGGAGGAAGGUAGGGAUGACGUCAAGUCCUCAUGGCCCUUAUGGGCGGGGCUACACACGUGCUACAAUGGUGGUGACAAAGAGAUGCAAGUGGGCGACCAUGAGCCAAUCUUAAAAAGCCAUCUCAGUUCAGAUUGCACUCUGCAACUCGAGUGCAUGAAGUUGGAAUCGCUAGUAAUCGCGAAUCAGCAUGUCGCGGUGAAUACGUUCUCGGGU
rnacentral:rRNA from 1 species